rnacentral:rRNA from 1 species
UACGGAGGGGGCUAGCGUUGUUCGGAAUUACUGGGCGUAAAGCGCACGUAGGCGGCUUUGUAAGUUAGAGGUGAAAGCCCGGGGCUCAACUCCGGAAUUGCCUUUAAGACUGCAUCGCUAGAAUUGUGGAGAGGUAAGUGGAAUUCCGAGUGUAGAGGUGAAAUUCGUAGAUAUUGGGAAGAACACCGGUGGCGAAGGCGGCUCACUGGCUCAUAUCUGACGCUCAGGCGCGACAGCGUGGGGAUCAAACAGG